UACGUAGGUGGCAAGCGUUGUCCGGAUUUACUGGGCGUAAAGCGCGUGUAGGCGGCCUGUUAAGUCUGUCGUGAAAUCUCCCGGCUCAACCGGGAGGGGUCGACGGAUACUGGCAGGCUUGAGGGAAGCAGAGGAAGGUGGAAUUCCCGGUGUAGUGGUGAAAUGCGUAGAUAUCGGGAGGAACACCAGUGGCGAAGGCGGCCUUCUGGGCUUUUCCUGACGCUGAGACGCGAAAGCGUGGGGAGCGAACCGG
rnacentral:rRNA from 1 species